CAAAUGAAGACUUGGCUAGCAAUCUGUCUGACUGUGGAAAGCAACUAAUCAGAGGUGAAUGUUACUAACACUAGAAAAUUCAAAUGAAACAAUAGUGAGGUGAGGAAAAGACAUGGCAAAGCGGGAGAAAACCUAAACUGGGUAGGAAAGAAGAUGAGAACAAACAAGAGGCUGGUGCACAGAGAACAGAAAGAAAAGAAUUGCUUGGUGAGACUUUACACCAAAGACUGCUAUGAGAAGUGGUCACUACCUGCAAAGGAAAGCUUUGUCUCACAGAAGCUUCACUCCUCAGGACCCGCAGAGAUGAAACCUUCCUGAGAAGCAAAAGCUCUACCACAGUGGCCACUGCUGCUCCAGGGGCACAAAAGACUUCAAAAGAUCAAGCUCCAGCAUGCCAGGACAAUACCUGGGCCUGAGGGAGAAGCAUGAGAGGGAAAAAAACCGGGUUCCUGGUGGAGGAGGAAGAGGCCAGAGGGCAAAGAAGCAAGGCCCUAGAUGUUCAUCCAAGGUAGACUCCAAACCAAAAGAUGAUUCAACAUUGCCAACUAACGAAAAAAAAAAAAAUCAAGCUUUUGAAGAAUUAAAGUUCAUUUUAUUCAGAAGUCUUACUGAGGACCACAGCCCACAGAGAGUCAGAGAGGAUCUGCAGGACAGCUGAAGCAGUGUUUCAGUUGACAGCUGAUCUAUAGGUAGUAAGGUAUAGUAUGUGCUCCAAAGUGACAUUAAGACAAAAUCACAUCCGAGUCUGAGCGUAAGAGUACAUCUGGCUAUAGACGACAAAGGCAUUAACCCUUCAGAUGUUAUCUUACGUGUAGGAAAAGCCAAAGACUAGGGUCACUUAUCCUUUAAGGAAUAUGGUGACUCAGGCAAGAGACUUGGGAGCCAUGUGCCCUAUCCCGUUUUGUCUUCAAAGCAUUAGCUGGGGGCAGCGGCUCACGCCUGUACCCAGCACUUUGAGAGGCUGAGGUGGGUGGAUCACCUGAGCCUAGGAAUU